CCUACGGGAGGCAGCAGUGGGGAAUAUUGCACAAUGGGGGAAACCCUGAUGCAGCGACGCCGCGUGAAGGAAGAAGGUCUUCGGAUCGUAAACUUCUAUCAGCAGGGAAGAAGAAAGUGACGGUACCUGAAUAAGAAGCCCCGGCUAACUACGUGCCAGCAGCCGCGGUAAUACGUAGGGGGCAAGCGUUAUCCGGAAUCACUGGGUGUACAGGGUGCGUAGGCGGUAGGGCAAGUCAGAUGUGCAAGCUCGGAGCUCAACUCCGGGAUUGCAUUUGAAACUGUCUUACUAGAGUGCAGGAGAGGAAGGCGUAACUCCUAGUGUAGUGGGGAAAUGCGUAUGUAUUAGGAAGAACACCAGGGGCGAAGGCGGCUUUCUGGACUGUAACUGAGGCUGAGGCACGAAAGCGUGGGGAGCGAACAGGAAUAGAUAUCGCAGUAGUC
rnacentral:rRNA from 1 species